rnacentral:rRNA from 1 species
UGCCGCUUAACCGCAACGGGACGGAAAGACCCCGUGAACCUUUACUAUAACUUUGUAUUGGUAUUGUGUAAAUAAUGUGUAGGAUAGGUGGGAGACUUUGAUCCUGUGUCGCUAGGCAUAGGUUAGUCGUUGGUGAAAUACCACCCUUUAUUUACUUGAUCCCUAACUCAUUUAUGAGGACAUUGCAUGGUGGGUAGUUUGACUGGGGUGGUCGCCUCCUAAAAAGUAACGGAGGCUUUCAAAGGUUCCCUCUGUACGUUUGGUAAUCGUAUUUAGAGCGCAAUAGCAUAAGGGUGCUUGACUGUGAGGCCUACAAGCCGAUCAGGGUCGAAAGACGGAUAUAGUGAUCCGGUGGUUCCGCAUGGAAGGGCCAUCGCUCAAAGGAUAAAAGGUACUCUGGGGAUAACAGGCUGAUCUCCCCCAAGAGCUCACAUCGACGGGGAGGUUUGGCACCUCGAUGUCGGCUCGUCACGUCCUGGAGCUGGAGAAGGUUCCAAGGGUUGGGCUGUUCGCCCAUUAAAGUGGUACGUGAGCUGGGUUCAGAACGUCGUAAGACAGUUCGGUCCCUAUCCGCCGUGGUCGCAGGAAACUUGAGGGAUGCUGUUCCUAGUACGAGAGGACCGGAACGGACGAACCUCUGGUGCACCAGUUGUCUCAUCAGAGGCACCGCUGGGUAGCUAUGUUCGGAUGGGAUAAGCGCUGAAAGCAUAUAAGUGCGAAACCCUUCCCAAGAUUAGGUUUCCCUUCUCGAUUUCGAUCGAGAGAGAAGGGUCCCUGUAGACUACAGGGUUGAUAGGUCACAGGUGUAAGGUCAGUAAUGACUUCAGCCGAGUGAUACUAAUUGCCCGUCAGGCUUUACUAA